rnacentral:lncRNA from 1 species
CUUGUUUGUAUACAACCACGCCCGGCAGGAUGACCACCAGAUGACCGGCCGCAGCAAUGCCUCCACUCAGUCCCAGUUGGGCAAAGUUUCACUCCACUGCGGCGACGUGAACAAGAAUCACGGCUUCCUUAUCGUACUUGCUACUGGGAGUACAAUUUAUGAGGGUGGUUUAUGGUUCUCAAGAGCAUGUUCUGUCACACUUUCCACACUGCCUUCCCCAAAUUCACUCUGCUCAAGUCCCCCACUCCAUCCUCGUGCCUCCACACAGUCUGUAGAUAAUGCUGUACUUUAUUUCAUCACGAAAAUACAAGCACUGAGUUGAUACUGCUUCAUCCUCUGAACACUCCCUACCUAUAAACCAAUCUAUAUUCCCAUCCAUAGCUUCUUUCAUUCCCAAAUUAGUGAAAAAGGUAUCUUUCUUCCCAAGUAAGGUAAAUCCGUCCCUCAUCUUGUGCUCAGGAUUCCUUCUCAUUCGGCCUCCCCAUGGAUCAUUCUAACACUGUCUCAACUCUUCAAUUUCUCUGACUUGUUCUACACCUGCCCAGCACUUAAAGGAUCUGGCCAAAUGAAUACAUGCAGGAGAUGAAAUAUGGAGAAAGAACAAAAGGACUAAUUCCACUUGUGAGAGAUGAAGGAACAGGAGCACUCUCAUGUUUCUUAGGUCACACACCAAGAAAGAGGAGACAUGAGAUUAAACCCACGUUUUCUAACUCUGGGCUCAUUUUGGUGACGUCAGGUGAUUUGGGUGAGAAUCCCAGUUCCAGCGAUCUCAGCAUGACUGGCUGGAAUAUGUGAGUGAUAUUACAGCUUCAGCAACCUUCUUGAAUCAUGAAAAGAAGAGAAGCAAAGUGGGUGGAGAAAGAAGAUAGGAAGAGUCUGAUCCUUGACACUUUGGAGCACCACACGAGUCCUAGACUGACUAGCUACAGACUUUUUGCCUAUGAGGAAGAAAUAAACUUCUAUUUCACCUAUACCUGCCACAACACAUGGGAAUUAUGGGAGUACAAUUUAAGAUGAGAUAUGGAUGAGAACACAGAGCCAAACCAUAUCAACUCUAUCUUCAUGUUUGUUUACAUUUCUCUCAACUGUAUGUUUUGUGACCCAGAAUGUGAUCCUGGUAAACAUUCCAUUUGAGAAGAAUGUGUAUUCUGCUGUUGUUGGGAGCUGCGUUGUCAUUGAUGAAGGAAUAUUUCGAAGCGCUGAACAAUUCUUGAUAAAGUUCCGAAACAAACAAAGCACAAUCUUCCCUCGAUUUACAUGGGAGUUGCAUUCCUGGAAAAUUCAGUAUAUUUUAAAACCAUGCAAAAUAUCCUUUUAAAAAAAUAUGUAACAUGGAGUUUAGGACCAAGGCUCAGGAUAUUUCCAAUCCAUGGUUGGGUGCGGAACCUGCGGAUACAGAGGACUGACUAUAAUAUCAAGGGAUCAUAAGGCUGUCGGAAUGGACUCUUUGUGGCAAUAAGAUACCAUAUUAUAAACAGGACCCAAGGUCAUGCCAGGAUCAGAGAAGCUCUACUACCCAGAAGAGUUGGAACGGGCCUUGAAAUGUAACCCAAGCAUCUUAUUAUACAGGAGGCUCGUGUGGUCCCUGUUUGUCAUCCAGUCAAUACGGCCAUCAGCUUCUGGCCCCAGACACCUUUCCUCUGCACUGUGGCACAGAGGAGCAGACUGCUUUGGAGGGCAGCUUCCUGGGAGCUCCAGGGACCCUGGCCAGGCGGCCACUGCCACUGACUUCCUCGGCUCACUGAGCCCGUGCCUGCAGCUCUCGUGUUUCCUCUGUGCUGCAGUGGACGCUUAUCUUCCCCCGAUGGCACAUUUCUUUGUCACAGACAGGACCCUCACUGGCAGUCGGAGGACAUCAAGCCCUAGUACAGGAAGGGACAUUUUCACACUAAUCUGUGCCAGCUGGAGCAGUCCUGCCAUCUGAACAUCAUAUUUUGGAACCCUGAGAAGCUAGGAUGCAGUUAACAGGAGACAGGAAGCUCUGAACACUUCAAGACAUGCUUAGAAGGCCCUUUUAUGGGAUGGUGCAUACAAGAACAUCAGAGCAAAGACAUACAGAUUCCACAUCCCAUAGAUGCCUGUGAAAAAGGCACUGUUCACUUGGACUGUGACGCCGCCCCAUUUCCAAUGGCCUUCCGUUACCUGCGGAGAAAGGAUGGUGAUAUUCAAUUGAAACAUAGAUGUCAAUUCCCUGCAGGCAGAGACCAGUUCUCUGCUGCCAUGUCUUUAAGGCCUGAUGCACCAUAGAUUAAUUCAAAUCCAGUGUCUACCACUCACUCGGCUUAAUGUAAGACAAGAUGAAGACUCCAGACUUCAGAACUUCAGUGUCCGGGGAAGGGGCUGAAAUACCAGACUGCGAUGUACCAUCUCUUGGUUGCUAUGACUGAGGCCAUUAAAAUGGCAGGCAUUAAAAGACUGCACCUCAGUACCCAGCUACAAAGCCUCAAGGUCACUGCAUUCCACAGCUUCCCGUCGCCUUUCAUUCCUGGCCUCAGAGCUUCAAUAUCCUGGCGAGAUCCCCUCGCAUUAUAUUUCAUGAGGCUUAAAUGCAAGCUCUCCCACAGCAAGCCCGAGAGUAUAAUGGGGGUUUUAAUACAUUCCUUUUACCUAAGGCUGGGAUCCAUUUCAAAAAGUUACCCAAUAGGUUUCCUUUCAGGUGAGCUCAUUGCUCUGACAUUCCAAAAUGACAUUAAAAAAAUCUUAACAGUAAUAGGCAAAAGCAACAAGAAGACUCCCAAGUGAAGGGGAUCACAAAUGGCCCCAAAGAGCCUUUGAAGUCUCAGUCAUCAGGUAAUAAUAGCCUUCCUCUAAAUUAGAGGAAGAAUGUCUGCCUUGCAACAAAGAUGAUAUUUAAAGAAUAAUCUGCUUUGGGGUACAAGGGGAAGGAAUGCAGAGAAUAGACCAGUUGAAAAGGCAGAUGAGGAUUUUAAAUGCUUCGCCUACAACCUCAAUUGUUGUGGAGCCAAAGAUGCAACAGCUUUGAAGAAUAGAAGAAUUACUCUAUAUUUGUCAGGAUCUACGUGGCAAACAAGCGCCACUUGGCUUACAUUACUUGCCUGGCUUGGAUCCCAUGGAAUGGAGGAGCAUUGGAACCAAGAGGAAAAAAAUUAAAGUGCUUUGGGACAGCGAGCCAAACUCUUACAUAGUAUUUGAAAUGGUGUGGCAAACAUGAAAUUAUUUUAGGCUCAAGAUUGGUGCUAGUUUUUUACCCUCUUUUUGAAAAAAUAGUAAAAUGCACAUAAAGGGCCCUGCCAGAGGUUUAGCUCAUAAAAUCUGCCAAUCAUUGGAUGUGCUAAUUGGUGUAGCAAUCCAGUGGUGGCCUGGAUUAGGACUCAAAAACUGACCCUUACCACCCUUGGUGUCCUGCAGCAAAGACAGCCUAAAUCGAAAAGACUGAUGGAAGUAUAUCAAAUUACGAAUUUCUCUAUCCCUGAAAAAUGCCUGCAAUUUCUGUUUCUCCAUCACUCCAGAAAUACUCAAAACAGCAAAAAUUAAAUACAUAUGAAGUGAACACAAAAGACCUCCACAGAAAAAUCAGUGGCUCAUCUGUUGACGCUAUUGCUCAUUGCUCGGCUGGCCAGUCAUCUGGGCUAAGUUUUGACUUUGGGCCAGUGCUUCAAAAUCAGCAACCUUUCAGCCAAAAGACUGUGGAAUGCAGCCAAGACCACCUGUGGAAAGUGAAUUAUAGCAUCUUUAAUUUACUACCUUGGGCUAUGAUGUCAGAAACCCAGCAUGGAGGGCGCACCAGUUCUUGUGUGGGAAAUCUCUCAGAGCCCCCAUGGAGGCCCCCAAAGUGGCUCUGGCAAAGCUGUAGGGGUGGAGGUAACAAAAAAGGGGACACCUGGCUCUCCUUCUUAAAUCAGCUCACCAUGGGCACACAUUUAUAUUGGAAUUUUAGGGUCAGAAAAUACCAAAAUUAAAUCUUCUAGAAGA